UUAAAAUCUGGAUUGUACAAGGUGGCUUCCGUGGAUGGUUCCACUCAGGGAUUACGGAAAAUGGCGGUUACCUUUUCCGCGAUCUCAAAAAACGCUGCAUGAUUGGGUGCUCUGGCCCCACCAACCACUUUCAGAAAUUCCUCUGGAUAAGGGAAAGAGGACGUUUGCCCCCAUCCACUCAUCUUAUGAGUUUCCAAGUUACCUAAUUUUCCUGCAGUGGUGCUAAGCUGACCUCUCACAGGGCCAGCAAUACCCUCGGAGAGUAUUGGGCAUCUCUCUGGAAAUCAACGUCUUUAAUUCUGCUAUGAUGCCAGGAGUUUGCCCCACAAUGCAGACUUUGCCUUGCUCUGAGCUGCGGCCUUUUGUGACUCACUUGGACGUUUUACAUUGAAGCUGACGUGGCUCAGCGUCGAGUUGGGGCUGCAGGGUGCUUGUUAACUGGCAGUGCCGAAAAGGUCUCCUCUCUUUCCUUCCCCGUAUGCAGUUACUUCUUUUCUGGGCACUAGGUAAUUGGUUGAAAAUCAGGUGAAGGCUUUUGACAGUCGGGCGGGAGAGUGUUCAGUGUAACUAUGACUUACGCUAGGGUGCAUUCAAAGACCCUCCUGACCUUUAGGUUCACAGAGCCCUCUGAUUCCUCGGUUGCUUUAUUAGCACUGGUUCAAUCCAGAAGGUGGCAUCACAGAGCCUGAUGUGUGCUCACCAAAGAUCAAGAAACCCCCACAUUUCUUUGUGAUUAGCCACUAACGUAUGUAGCCUUUAUAGAACAGGUUGACAUUUUAAGGACCUUUUAUUUAUCUCUGUGAUUGGUCACAUUAAAGCCGUGGAAGAUAAAAACCCGAGGUCUGAGGUACUUAGCAAAACCUGUACCCAAACCCAUGUUCCUUUACCAGGUGACGUGAUGGGGACCAAGACUGGCUUAUUUGCUUCUCAGAAGCCGUUGUACAAUUGAACAACGGUGAUGCCUCCUUCCCCCUCCACACACACUUGUGCCCCCUGGCCCUCAGAAUCAUCUUGGGUCAUUUCACUGGGGGUGGGGGGGGCGGGCUGGGGAAGAUCUAAAUGAAUGGUUUAUGGGGAAAUCUGCUGAGUACUGGUACUCAAAAGUAAGUCACUUAAAAAUAAUUCCGAAAGGGUGACUCUCUCUGGUGGCAUUCUCGAAGCCAGGACUCUCAGGGAAAGAGCAGGUGACCCUCCUCAGAAUUGAAGGUGGGAUCCGGCUUGGUUCUUUCCCACGAGUCCAUUCCUGGACCAGCCACAUCACCUGCCUCAGGAGGCCUGUACUCGGCGCAUGUCUCCCCGGCAGCGGGAAUGUUAAUGUGCUCUCAGUUCAUGGUGUGAAGUGUCCCAUGUCAAACUUGUGUCUGCCUUAAGUGUUUUUUCUCAUUCCUCUGAUUUCUGUGGGUGACGGAAAGAGGACGGCUAUGGAGCCCUUUAAGGCAAGGCCUUUGGAAUGGGGUGUAUUCCUUACGAUCCUGGUUCCCUGUUAUAUGUCAACUUUUUGAUGGCUGAAUCAUAGUUCAUUGUAUAUAUAGACCACAUUUUUGUUAUCCAUUUAUCCCGUUGAUGGACGCUUAGCUUGCUUCCAUGUCUUAGCUAUUGUGAGUAAUGCUGCAGUGAACACUGGGGUGCAGAUAUCUCUUUGGGAUAGCGGCUCCAUUUCCUUUAUAUGAAUAUCGAGACGUGGGAUGCCUGGAACAUAUAGUAGUUCUACUUCUAAUUGUUGAGCAGCUACCAGGAGAGAUGGAAUGACUAGAUGUGGUCCUUCCCUCAGGAGAUGGGGAUCGGGGAGGGGGUUCUCUGAUCAGGAGAGAAGGAAUGACUGACUAGAUGUGGUCCUUCCUUCAGGAGAUGGGGAGAGGGCUGGGGAAGAGUGGCCUUCCCUUUGCAGAGCUGCUCCCAGAGCGCGGGGGAAAAGCAGACAGGGGGAUAUGGUUCCCUGUACUGGACUUUGUGCGCUCAAAGUUUGUCUUCUGCCUACUUCCCCGUCGCUGGCACUGCUUAGGAUCAGCAUAGCUGGAGGACAAAAGACAACAAUGCACUUUGCUGAAUGUGAAAAGAUGAGAUUUUUGUGACGGGGUCUGUUCCUUAUUUGUCCAGCUUCCCUGAGAAUUUGGGACUUUGCUCCUGGGGAAGGCUUUGUCUCUCUCUGUGCGCUGCCUUAGCCUGUGAAAAGUGGCUCAAGGAAUGGUGGCCCUUCACCCUUCUCUACUGUUUUCUAGAACGGUAAUCCGAGGGAGUCUUCUUAGAGGCAGUUGCUGCUGUUUCUGGCGACUGAUCGGACGUGCUUGAGUUGACUGCGCAGUCUUUCAUACUGAUAGUGACCUGUGUUCUCAAGGGGAGAUUAAUGAAAGUGAGCUGCUGUUGCUGGCAUGUUCUUUCAUACACUGGCCAGACACUUCUUCCCCCGACGUUCCCAUGGCUCAAAGUGCCUUGUUAAAUUCCUACAGAAAGUGCAUACUGGCUGGCAAUGGCAGCAUCUGGGGCAUGGGCAAUAGUGGGUCCCAGGGAAGAAAUGGGCCCUGGCCGGCUGUCAGGCUUCUGUGCUCUGACACAAACGUAUUGAACAGAAGAAUGUCCACUGUGCACAGCAGUGGCAUGUUAGGGAUCAUCAGGAAUCCAGAUCUUGUGUCUGGGAAUGUGGUUGGAAUUCUGUCCAAGCCCCUUUCCAUAUUAACUUCCUACACUCUUCUGCUGAGUGUACUCUGCGCAUUGGUGGGAAGACAAGCAGCUCAUGGGCGCUGUCAAUGAAACUUACGUGAGCCAGGGGACAUUUCGAUUCUCCUGGGCUUGUGCAGGUGAACCUGGAUGUCCAGGAACCUCCGGGGUCAGGUCUCCAGGCUGGAGGAUUGAGCCCUCCUAUUUCUUUUGCUGAGGAGAGCUAUACCCACAGGCUGCAGGCGUCCCUUCCCUUAUGUAUCUGCUAGAAUGCGUUGCCCCUUGCUAGUCUGACCCCUCUGCCGUGUUGGUCCUCUCUUGGGAGGCGAUGGCAUAGCCUCAAGGGGAUCUUGCCUGCACUCUCAAGGAGGAGGGCGUUGUACUGAAGCUACCAGAGGGGUGAGAGGGUAAGUGGGGGUUGCAAUUUGAGGAGGGGAGGGGUGUUACGGUUUCCCCAUUUCAGGUUCUUGAUUUCUCUUGGUCAGGGACAUCCGGGGUCCAGCAGGGUUAUGAGUACACUCUGAGGGCGUAGGGAGCCUCGACAGUCGGGCGGACGAGGGACUCGGUGUGGAAGUGGUGCUGGGCCUUGUGGGCUCCGGGCUGCGCCUCCUGCCGCUCUCCAUUCUCCCACACUACCUUUGGGGCAGCAGAGCUGGGGGGACCGAAGACAUUGGACAUUGGGGGAUAGGAUGUGAGAAACUAUGACUGUCUCAUCGAGUUGAGACAUUCAUUCGGACAAGAGAGGGUCAUUUUCCAUUUUACAAAUGAAUGGUUUUGCCUGUGCGCGCAGGUUAUGCUGUCUCAUUUUAACUCUGUGUUACCGUAGGCCUCUGAACAAAGGCCUCGGGCGGGAGUGAGCCCCUCACCCCGCUGUCUCGUUGCCCGUCAACAGCGACCUGAGGCCCUCCUGAGGAGGAACUGCUGUGGCUUAUGCUCAUUUUGUUCCCGGGAGACCUUCUCUGUUGGCUCCUGGGCGCUGUCCGUGGUGUUCGUGCCCCUCUCUGUUUUGCGGGAGGCUGUAGCCGAGCUUUCUGUUUCAACUGCUCAAGUUGCUCCCCCUUUACCUCGCUCUCAGGCCCUGCAGGGCCCUUGUGGACACAUUCCUGGGUUGCACAAUUGCCAGAGGCUUACCUAGCUUCUGAAAAAGAUUUGCCUACUGUGCAAAGAGACCAAGAACUCACAUUGAGAAGUUUUCUGAAGUCCGUGUUCUCAGAAAAGGGAAGGGGGGUGGGGGGAGUCCUUGGCCUCCUUUCAACAGGGAUCAUUUAACUUUUAUUUCUUAUUUUGUAUGCCUUUGCGACAGGCUACCAGGAGAUACCAGGUCUCCUUGGUAACUGCACCCUCGCCCGGCUGGUGAGUCCCGAGCACUGGCCAGAGUUAGUGAGGCCACGCAGAGAACUCCCUCAAGAGCCCUUGGUGCCAACAGCACCCAAGGGACGGUUCAUAAGUAUGAGCAACUGCUUCUCCUCUAGCCUGCUUGUGCAGGCUGUGUUCUCAGGGGGAGCCCUCUCUGAUCCCACAGAGCCCACUCCAAUGAGGAUUGAAACCACAAACCUUGUUUAGGGACGGGUGUAAGUUGAUAUGCUGAUGUCAGCUCUCCACUGGCAAGUUGAGCUGUACUGUUCCUCUCAUACCCUCCCUUUCUCGAGUGCCCUGGAGGAGCAGAGGGGUGAUCUGUCUGUCUUGCGAUACACAGGACCUGAUAAGAAUACUUGGUCAGGGGGGAGGACUCGGAUCCUCUGUGUGUUACAGAGCUCUAGGGUGGGGGCUUCUCAGAGUGGGUGGGAAGAACGUGCAAAAUGUGUGCACUCUCGGAUCAUUGAAGUGAUGCCCUCUAGCUCCCUCUGGGUUUGGGUUUACCCCCUCUGCCCAUCCUGCUGACUCCAGGAGCGCAGCACGUGGAUUAGACUGCUGCCAAGCAGGCUGCCCCGCAGUUGAGAUUCGGGUUGGCCUUCUGAGCUUCCCGUGUCUUUUAUUCACAUGCAGACCUACUGUACUGCUUCUGAUCAGCUUCAGAAAAGAAUAGCAGUGGGCUGUGUUCAGUGACUCCUGAGGAGAUUCACUGAUUGCCUCAACCAGCCCCCCGCCCCCCCAUUAGUCAGACACAGGCGCCUUACAGAACGCUGAAAGGCCCGUUGGAGACACCAGUCUUCUAUCUGCUCGAAGACUAUAGGUUGUGCCCUCGGGGUGCUGACCCACAGGAUGAGGAACAUGGUUAACGGCAGGAACCGGACACCAGGCUUCUCCUCCAGAGCUCAGAGGAGACGCAUACGGAAACAUUUGCUAAGAGGGUAGAUCUUCUACCUUCUGUCAUCUUCUUAGUCCAAAAAAGUAAUACUAAUUACUGAAGGUGGAGUGAAGCUUUGGAGGGGAUGGCUAUGUUUAUGGCAUGGGUUUUGGUGACGGUUCAUGUGUGUAUACCGAUCUCUGAACUCAUGAAGUUGCAUACAUUAAAUAUGUACGGCUUGUUGUAUGCCAGUCACCUACCUUCAUACCUCAAUAAAGUGGUUUAAAAAAACAGUAAAGAAAGGGGCGCCUGGGUGGCUCAGCUGGUUAUGCAUCCAACUGUUGAUCUUAGCUCACGUCUUGAUCCCAGGGUUGUGAGUUCAAGCCCCGUGUUGGGCUCCCCGAGCCCGCUUAAAAUAAAAUAAAAGAAAUUGAAAAAAAAAACCCUCCCAUGAUUACAGAUGAGUGCUCCCCUCGAAUGUUUUUGGACUGCAGACUGAAGGGGAAGGAAGGAAGUUUCUGUACAGGGAAAUGGGAAAUUACUGCUUCUGUAUUAUUGUUUUGUCUGUAUUGUUCCAUUUACAUGUGGCAUUUGCCCUGGCGACGUAUGAGGAUGACCUUUAGUCCGUAAGAUUUUCCAUUUCACUGAAACACAGCAGUUCCACAGAAGCCGUGAACUUCACCUGGAAGACUUGGACUCGAGGAGCAGCCCUGGGCCGUCCGCUGUUUGUCAUGUGACCAGAAAUUGACUUGGGGUUAAUGUGACUUUGGGAUCGGCCUGGAUUUGGGGUUGUCUCCAUGGUUUGCAAUUGUGCUUUUGUGCCUACGCAAGAAAUCUUUCAAAAUAUUUUGUAUAUGAGAACAUGUCAAAAUGUGUAUGGGUACCGUAUUUGCAUUGUGUACUGUAUUUGUAUUGUGCAGGGUGGAGGGCACUAGUCUCGGGCCGCUGGAUCUCCCCAGUAAGCACUUUCCUCGGCGCCUGGCCCCCACCCUUCUGUCUACUGUGUGGCCGAGUUCCCUGGCCAUAGCUACUUGGUUUCAUACUUUUCACCUUAUCAGAGUUGAGCCAAUGGUACUUUUGUUAUAUUUAGAGUUUGGGACUAGGCCCCAAGAAUGAGUGGUAUCUCAUCCUUGGGGGCGCCUGGCUGGCUCGGUCGGUAGAGCAUGUGACUCUUGAUCUCAGGGUCAUUAUGGUCGAGCCCCACACUGGGUGUAGAGAUUACUUAAAAAUCUUUAAAAAAGAAGAGAGAGAGAGAGAAUGGGUGAUAUCUUGAAAAGGCUCACUAAUAUUCUUUCACUGCAGAGAAUGUAAUCAGAAGGCAUACUCUUGAGUUUCCCUGAGCUAUCCUCAUUUCUGUCUUUAAAAUGUGUUUGUUGCUUAAGGUUCUUGCAUUUUGUGAAAUACUUGUGUCCUUCCAAUAAAAUGU